rnacentral:misc_RNA from 1 species
GAGGAAUCGUUGUAGCUCUCAAGCAUCAAAAAAUCUAGCAGGGAACUUAUUGAAAUAACUUGCAUUUUGCAUUCUAUGAAUUUUUUUCAUUCAUGGAUCUUAGAGAGAUCAUCUGACACCUUUAAAUGCAGUUGAUAAAGGCAUUUCCAAACAUUUAAAGCCCAUUUGUUGCAUAUUCAAAUCAACAUUGUUGAAUCACCCUUGGCUGUCUUAAUUUUGUAACCCAG